rnacentral:rRNA from 1 species
AGACCCGAAACCCGGUGAUCUAGCCAUGGGCAGGUUGAAGGUUGGGUAACACUAACUGGAGGACCGAACCGACUAAUGUUGAAAAAUUAGCGGAUGACCUGUGGCUGGGGGUGAAAGGCCAAUCAAACCGGGAGAUAGCUGGUUCUCCCCGAAAGCUAUUUAGGUAGCGCCUCGUGAAUUCAUCUCCGGGGGUAGAGCACUGUUUCGGCUAGGGGGCCAUCCCGGCUUACCAACCCGAUGCAAACUGCGAAUACCGGAGAAUGUUAUCACGGGAGACACACGGCGGGUGCUAACGUCCGUCGUGAAGAGGGAAACAACCCAGACCGCCAGCUAAGGUCCCAAAGUCAUGGUUAAGUGGGAAACGAUGUGGGAAGGCCCAGACAGCCAGGAUGUUGGCUUAGAAGCAGCCAUCAUUUAAAGAAAGCGUAAUAGCUCACUGGUCGAGUCGGCCUGCGCGGAAGAUGUAACGGGGCUAAACCAUGCACCGAAGCUGCGGCAGCGACGCUUAUGCGUUGUUGGGUAGGGGAGCGUUCUGUAAGCCUGUGAAGGUGUGUCGUGAGGCAUGCUGGAGGUAUCAGAAGUGCGAAUGCUGACAUAAGUAACGAUAAAGCGGGUGAAAAGCCCGCUCGCCGGAAGACCAAGGGUUCCUGUCCAACGUUAAUCGGGGCAGGGUGAGUCGACCCCUAAGGCGAGGCCGAAAGGCGUAGUCGAUGG